GGGGCUAUGAUCUAGGGGUAUGAUGCGAGGUUUGGGACCUCGUCGCCGCGGUUCAAUUCCGCGUAGCCCCA
rnacentral:tRNA from 1 species